rnacentral:rRNA from 1 species
UACGAAGGGGGCUAGCGUUGUUCGGAUUUACUGGGCGUAAAGCGCACGUAGGCGGAUAUUUAAGUCAGGGGUGAAAUCCCGGGGCUCAACCCCGGAACUGCCUUUGAUACUGGGUAUCUUUGAGUCCGGAAGAGAUGAGUGGAAUUCCGAGUGUAGAGGUGAAAUUCGUAGAUAUUCGGAGGAACACCAGUGGCGAAGGCGGCUCACUGGUCCGGUACUGACGCUGAGGUGCGAAAGCGUGGGGAGCAAACAGG